UACGUAGGGGGCAAGCGUUGUCCGGAUUUAUUGGGCGUAAAGAGCGUGUAGGCGGCCUUACAGGUCAGCUGUGAAAACUCGAGGCUCAACCUCGAGACGUCGGUUGAAACCGUAAGGCUAGAGUCCGGAAGAGGAGAGUGGAAUUCCUGGUGUAGCGGUGAAAUGCGCAGAUAUCAGGAAGAACACCCGUGGCGAAGGCGGCUCUCUGGGACGGUACUGACGCUGAGACGCGAAGCGUGGGGAGCGAACAGG
rnacentral:rRNA from 1 species